rnacentral:rRNA from 1 species
UUCGUCAUGGCUCAGAUUGAACGCUGGCAGGAUGCUUUACACAUGCAAGUCGAACAGCGGCUGGACUUCGGUCUGGUGGCGGUGGCGAACGGGUGAGUAAUGUAUCGGAACGUGCCUAGUAGCGGGGGAUAACUACGCGAAAGCGCGCGCAUUCACACGCGCAUACGCCCUUCGAGGGGAAAGCAGGACCUUCGGGCUCGCACUAUUAGAGCGGCCGAUAUCGGAUUACGUAGUUGGUGGGGUAACGGCUCACCAAAGGCGACGAUCGUAGCUGGUUUGAGAGGACGACCAACCACACUGGGACUGAGACACGGCCAGACUCCUACGGGAAGCAGCAGUGGGGAAUUUUGGACAAUGGAAACCCUGAUCCAGCCAUCCCGCGUGUGCGAUGAAGGCCUUCGGGUUGUAAAGCACUUUUGGCAGGGAAAGAAACGGCACGGGAUAAUACCCCGUGCAGCAGCCAGUACCUACAGGAAUAAGCACUAUUCACUACGUGCCAGCAGCCGCGAUGACCACGUAGGGUGCAAGCGUUAAUCGGAAUUACUGAGCGCGUAAAGCGUGCGCAGGCGGUUCGGAAAGAAGAUGUAGAAAUCCCAGAGCUUAACUUUGGAACUGCAUUUUUAACUACCGGCUAGAGUGUGUGUCGGAGAAUUCCGCGUGUAGCAGUGAAGUAGAUAUGCGGAGGAACACCGAUGGCGAACAGCCUCCUGGGAUAACACUGACUCAUGCACGAAAGCGUGGGGAGCAAACAGGAUUAGAUACCCUGGUAGUCCACGCCCUAAACGAUGUCAACUAGCUGUUGCAGGGCCUUCGGAGCCUUGGUAGCUGGCUAACGCGUGAAGUUGACCGCCUGGGGAAGUACGGUCACAAGAUUAAAACUCAAGGAAUUGACGGGAUUGCCUGAAGCGGUGGAUGGUAUGGAUUAAUUCGAUGCAACGCGAAGAGCACUACACCCGGCAUGUCACAGUCCAGAGAUUUGGGAGUGCUCGCAGAGAACCGGAACACGGUGCUGCGCUGGCUGGCGUCCGGCUCGUGUCGUGAGAUGUUGGGUUAAGUCCCGCAACAGCGAGCGCAACCCUUCUCAUUAGUUACCACGAAAGGGCACUCUAAUGAGACUGCCGGUGACAAACCGGAGGAGGUGGGGAUGACGUCAGGAUCCUCAUGGCCCCUAUGGGUAGGGCUUCACACGUCAUACAAUGGUCGGGGCAGGAGGGUCGCCAACCCGCGAGGGGGAGCCAAUCCCAAGAGCCCCGAUCCGUGAUCCGGAUCGCAGUCUGCAACUCGACUGCGUGGGAGUCGGAAUCGCUAGUAAUCGCGGAUCAAUAUCGCGGUGAAUACGUUCGGGUCUUCAUACACCGCCCGUCACACCAUGGGAGUGGGUUUUGCAGGAAGUAGUUAGCUAUUGUGGGAGGGGCGAUUACCACGGUAGGAUUCAUGACUGGGGGUGAAGUCGUAACAAGGUAG